GGAAGUUAGUGGUGGUCGUAGUCUCUAGUGUGGUGGGAGGUUAAAGCGAGCAAAAUGGUGGGGAGGUAGACGCGUGUACACAGAGAGAGAGAGAAAGACAGACAUACACUUGCGCACUAGUCGGGAGAGACGAGAAGACGACAACGACAUUAACGACAACGACAACGACAACGACAACGACGACGACGACGACGACGACGACGACAACGACGACACGCGGUGACGCGCAGGUGCGAGCAACCUCUCUCUUUCUCUCUCUCUCUAUUUCUCUCUCUCUCUCUCUCUCUUUCUCUCUCUCGCUCACUCACUCACUUACUCACUCUCGAUUCGAUACGUUUCUUAUUUCCGUCCAUUCCGGAGCGAACGACAAGGUCCUACGCGCGCGUUACGUCGACGAUAAGCGUGCGCUCGCGCACAUAUACAUUCAUACACGCACACAAAAGUGGUAACGAAGAGGAAGGGCAGCCAGGCGAUUCUCAGUCCCGUUCCGUCCCAUCCCGCAUUCUCUCCUCUUCUCUUCACUCCUCUCGUACCAUACGAGUAUACCUCCUUCUCUUCCUCCUCCUCCUCCUCCUCCUCCUCCUCCUCCUCCUCCUCCUACUUCAUAGCCGUGCUACUGCUGCUCUAUUACCACCUUCGCGUUCCUCGUCUCUUCUUCGUCGUCGUCCUCGCCUAGAAAUGUCGGCCACGGGAGUAAACUUUUUCGUCACGCGAGUGUGUGUCAGUUCUCUUUCUGUGUCUGUGUGUGUUUCUCUCUCUAUCCAUCUAUCUAUCUAUCUAUCUAUCUAUCUAUCUAUCUAUCUAUUUAUCUAUCUAUCUAUUUAUCUCAAUCUCUGUCUCUCUCACUAUGCGAGAUUUUUUUUUUUAAUGUGUCUAUGUCCAUGUCUGUAUCUCUAUCUCUAUCUAGUGUGGACUCUUCCUUGGCGCUGUUGUGUGAUAUGGACUUUACGAGACAGAUACAUAUGUAUAUACAUAUAUAUAUAUAUACUUGUAAAUGUAUAUGUACGUAUGUACAUGUAUGUGAAUAUAUAUAUAUAUAUAUAUAUAUAUAUUUUUGUCUCUCCGACGUCUUUCGUCUCCCUUUUUCUAUCUCUUUAUCUCUUUCUGUGUAUAUUUAUAACAAGAGGUAACGGUGGAGAUGAGGACGACGUGUUGCAGCCAAGUUUAAAACGAUCAAACAGCUUCCACAGGGACCACCUGGCCAAAGAGAUACGAAAACUCAGACACUCCAUUCCAAUCUUCUUUUUUUCAAUUUUUUUCAUUCAUUAUUUUCCUUUUCUUUCUUUCUUUUCUCCUUUUACUUUCUUUCUUUUUUCAUUCUUGACAAAUUUGCACAAUUCGUCUAUUUCCCCUCCUUUCUCUCCCUCUCUCUUUUUCACACUCUCUCUCUCUCUCUCUCUCUCUCUCUGAUUUCUUCUUCUUCUCAUUGUAAAAUGAAUCCUUAACCCGUACUCUUCUUCCAUAUAGAAACACCCACCUCCCACGUUGAUCGGAACGAUAAUCGUCGUCGCUUUACAUCGCUGAAUAUUGACAAGAGCCACUCGGAAUGCAGAUCUAAUAAAUCAAACGAUAAAAUCGGUCGAUCUUGCAGAAAAAAACAAAGGAAAUAGAAAAAGAAAGAGAAGAAUCAAAGAAAGAAUCACGCGACGGCGGUAGUCGCAAGUGUACCUAGCCAAAAAGAAGAAUAAAAAGAAAAAGAAAAAAAAAAAAGAUCGCAGCCUUGGACAUUAAAACGCGACGUUAGCAAACGAUCCUCGAGAUACGAGAGUGAUAUUGCAAAACCACUAGAGCCGCCCGGAUCCGAUAAUAGACACUCGAAGGAAUUUCUCGUAAUCGGCCUACCCUUUUUAGUUCACCACUUUAUCCCUCACUAUUUCUACUCUCUCAAGCUAGACAACAUCAAAUUUCCUAGUGCAAUGCAAUUAUUUAAAAAAAAAAAAGAAGAAGAAGAAGAAGAAGAAAAGAAAAAAAAAGAAGGAGAAGAUAAAGAAAUCAGAAGAGAGUAGAACAGGAAACAAGAAGGAAACAAAAAGGAAAGAAAAAUAAAUAAAUGUAAAAAGUAAAAAUAAAAAUGAGAGAAUAAGAAUAAAAAGAAUAAUAAUAUAUAAACGAUAAAUGAGAAUAGAAUACUCUUUAAAAAGAGAAUCGAGUAUGAAAUAAUAACCCUGGACGUUUUUCGCAAGCAUACUUUUCCCCCCCACUGCAUUCGUACAUUCGCAACCCCCUUGGCAUAGAUCGAAAAUACGAGGUAGUCGGUACGAGCUUCUAGGAGAGUAGGAGAAUGAGGUUUCUUCUCUUCGUCUUCUUCUUCUACUUCUACUUUUUCGUUCACGUAUGUACAUAAUACAUACGCAAAAACUUAAUAUAUAUGUGUUUUAAAGAGACCCUCUGACGAUUCGAGGUUACGUGUUUGCCUUCGUAUGUUAUACGUGCUCACGAUGAUGGCCCAGAGCCACGCAACUUGGCACAGCUUUUUCGGCCAACACGUUGUGUAACGCAAACUACUUCUCGUCUCGAGAAAGAGAGUGUGUCCCUUUAAGAAAAAGAGAGAGAGAGAGAGAGAGAGAGAGAAAGAGAGAGAAACUUCAGCCAAGCGCAACAUCGAAGCUCUACGUUGCGUUCGCCUUCUAGUUCGGUCCGCGACGUCGCCGAGAAGGCAACGCUUGUGUUUUCUUAAACGAAUCGAAACGUGUAUUUUCGAGGAUUUGAAAUCUAUUCGAGAUUAGUUGGUUUCGUUAGUUAGAUAGAUCGAGUUUUAGUAUCAAAGAAAUUAUUUCUCUCGAUUCUUCUUACCUAUUUAUCUUUUUAUUUAUCUAUCCAUUCAUUUACCCGUUCAUCUAUCUUUUUCUUUCUUUUUUUUUCUUCCUAGCGAAUCUCGAUCAAUCUUUCUUAUUCCAUAUCGUAUUUUUAUUGGUAGGUUUCUUCUUAAACGAUAUAUUUCUGAUAACGUUGACGACCCUUUCGUAAAAGUAUGUGCCCCUUCCAAUUUCCAACGUCGUACCGUGUUCAAUUCGAAAUCAAGGGAAAAAUUAUCGUUAAAGAUUAUCGUUAGAAUUACACGCGAACUCUUUUUUUUUUUUCUUCUUCUUCUUUUUCUUUUGUACGUUCUUGAAACAUUCAUCGGAUUUUUAACUCUAGGAUAUAGAGUUUCUUCUCUCUCUCUCUCUCUCUCUCUCUCUCUCUCUCUCUCUCUUUUUGUCUUUCGAAAUUAAAGGGAUGGGAUAGAAAAAUGUAAAGAGUAAACGUAUUGUAUUCGAGAUGCUCGACGAGCUUUAUGUCAUUAAUUUCACUCGUCGGAAGAUCGUGAACACGCGAUGUGUAUCAACGUCGGAAGGCAGAAUCGAUCGUUAAGCUCGUUUAGCCCGCAAAGUGGUCCAAUUACAAGCGUUACCGCCAUGUGCGUGUACGUGUACGUCUGCGUGUGCGUGUGCACUGACGUGUGUGCGUGUUUUCGAACGCGCGCGUAUAUGUGCGUGUAUGUGUGUUAGCUUUGCUCGGUCUAGAAAGGGUGACGAUGAUCAUGCGUUACAAACAAUUCCCACGUGCGUUCGUUCGCGACGAUCAAAGUAUCUUCGAAAGAAAGAAAGAAAGAAAGAAGAAAAAAAAAAGAAAGAAAAAAAAUUGCACGAAAAAAAAAAAGAAAAAGAAAGACGAAAAAGGAAAGCUCGAUUUUUCCCUUACACGCAAAAAAAAAUAAGUUUUUUCUCUUUUGGAUCUUUUUUUUUAAACAUUAUCUCGACUUUCACGCGAAUGAAUUUGUUUAUCUUCUCGUAUUAGCUUAAUUAAUUUGUCUUAGGGAUAAUCAACGUGAAUCAGACAGACAGACAGAUACAGACAAAGACUCGUCAUAGAUUAUUUCUAAAUCAUACUAAACUGCAAAAUCACGAAUCUAACUCGCUAACGAUAUAUUUUAUUCGAUAUUUAAUGAAUUUAAAGUUCGCAAGUUAUCGCGGUAUCUAAUAAAACAUUUUCUCAAACGCGAAUUCAUUAGAAUUAGAUUAAUAGAAUAAUGAUAUUAAAUCGAACGUGACCUAGAAAAUUUGUUUCUAAUUAAAUCGAUAUUUAAGAUAUUUUAACUAUUAUUAAAAUUUGUUAUUGAGUGAAACGAAAGAAAAAGUUUUACGAUCUAUCUUUAAUAGAGAUCGUAAGAAGAAAUCGUUAAUACUAAUGAAUAUAACAUUGUUAUGAACAAAUCAUGAUAAUUAAUUUAUUAUUUCCAUUUCGAUCGAUCUAAAUAAAAUUACUAAAUUACUAAUAACUAAAUUACUCGUUAGCAAUGAUUAAACUAAAAUUGUAUUAUCGAUAAACGAGAUAUCCAUCGAUGAUAAUUCGAUUCAACUGCGAAAAAGAGAUUAUAAAGAAAUAUUUCAGUUUUUAUAGAAAUCGUUUAUAAAAUCUAAUUGCUCUCGUCCUUGAUCGUCCGUGAAUCGUUAAAAAAAUAGAGAAAAAUGAUGAUCAAAAAGACGUACUUUGGUGCAGAGUAAAAUAGAGUUUCGUGUGAAGAAGUAGAAGUAGAAGUAGAGGAUGUGUUUUGGAUGAAAGCCAAGGGAUGUACGAGGAGGGGGAGCUUCGAAGAGAUAUAUAUCUCGCGUGCAGCAAUCUUCUAUCUAUCUCUAUCUCUUUCUCUCUUUCUCUCUCUUUCUUUCUCUCUUGAUCCCGAUUUUAGCGACUCGAAUCACCAUCCUUGUCGUUCUCGUCACAGUUGGCACGGAAACGAUAGCUAAGAGGGAUAAUAAAUUUGAAGAGGUAGUUUUCUAGUAGAUGAAGAAGAAGAAGGAGAGAGGAGGAGGAUUUUGAAGAUUUUUCUUUUCGACAUAGAACUUCUUUUUGACUUAUCUUUGGGAAAUGCUAAGUUACGCGAUGUACAUAAUAGUUAGUGUAUUGUGCAAUCCCGCGAAGCGUGCGCCACGAUGUUACGUACUUACGUAGUAGUUCUCUCUCUCUCUCUCUCUCUCUCUCUCUCUCUCUCUCUCUCUCUCUAGAAUCCUGUUGUCGCCUCUAGCUUUUCCUCUAGCCUAGAUAGAGUCUAGUCGAUUCGACGGUAUGGUCUCUGUCUCUAGUCGUUGACUAGUCGUCACCCGUUACGCGCAUCCGCGGAAUUAUUCCUCGUUUAAUUGAAUAAAACAUAUUAAUGAACAGUGUCGUAUUGUCGAUAUAGUAGUAAUAGUAAUAUAAUAAUAUUAAUAUUGAUAUUGAUAUUAAUAUUAAUAAUAAUCAAUGGUAGUAGUAUAAUAGUAGUGAAUGAAAAACAGAGAUGUCUCCGUGUUGAUAAAAGAGUCAAAGGAAAAGAUCGCUUUUUUUUCUUCUUCUUCUUUUACGUCGCGAUCAUGCGACGCGAAUCAUCAUUCUCAUCGUAUAUAAUCCUUACGAUGAUGUGUUGUUAUUGUUCUGUUGUGUUGCGUUAGGAGCGGCCAAAUUCCUUUCAUAUAUCCGCGUAAUUUCCAUUUGAAAAUAUAAUUUUGUUUUUCGUCUAUUAUUUAUUAUGAUUUGUUAUGAACGCGAUUAUCAAUCGAAUGUCUAUGGGUGUACGAGUUAAUAAUAGUGUGGUGUUUUAUAUAGAUAUGUUAUUACAUAAAUUAUGGCAUCGAUAAAGGGAAUUCUUUUGUGAAUGAUCGUUGCAAUUAAUUGUUAUUUAUCCGUUUCUUUUACUUUGCUUUUUUUUCCUUUCUUUUUUUCGGUUGUUUCUAGAUUUGCAUCACGUUUCAUUGAUUUCAAUUUCUUCAUUCAAAGUUAGUUCGAAUCAUGAUUUAUACAAAUCAAAUCUCGAACGAAGGUUAAAAUACAGACUUUACGUCGCGAUCUAAAAGUCGAUCGAGGAUAAGAUAAGAAUGCUUUUAUUACGAUCUUAUUUUUACGACGAUGUAACCGUGGUACGAUUUCUUCUCUUAACGUCUUUUCCUUUCCUCUCUCUCUCUCUCUUUCUUUCUUUCUCUGUAUCUCUCUUUCUUUCGUUUUUCUCAGAUAAGAAUAUAAAUGCAUUCAUACAUUAACACCAAGUUAUAUGAAGGAUCUCGGUUAUUAUAUCUUUCAAUUAUGCAUCGAGAAAUGAUAUUCCUAUGUUACAUUGUGAAAUUUCUUUGAACCUCGAUAAUAAUAGAAGCCACUUACGUUCGUGUUUAAAAUGAAAAACGAAAGAAAGAGAAUAAGAGAAAAAAAGCAAUGUUACGUUUUAUCCAAGAAAUUACAAAAGAUUUAUUUCUUUUUCGACGAAUGUGUGUGUUUGUGCGUGUAUGUGUAUCGAAAUUAAUAGACUAUUAUAAAAACGUUUAAGCUAAGCCAAGAUUUUACAUAACUAAGAGAGAACAUUUUCUAGAAUUUUCAUUAUAUAGAAAAUGACGUAAUAUUCAUUAUUAUUCUUCGAUUGAUCCAUCGAUCAUUAUCAUGUCGGAUUCAUAUUUUCAAAUCAUUCACGCUUCAUACUCUUUCGUCGUAUAUACGACGAACGAAACAAUUUUAUCGUUUCAACAUUUGUGUGUAUAUAUGUGUGUGUGUGUAUGUGUGGGUGUAUCUGUGUGUAUAUAUUGUGCGUGCACGUUUACAUGUUCGUAUUCAUGAUAUUUAUUUUUCUUUCGCUGUAUGUUGUCUAAGUUUGCGUCUUGUUCAAUCGUACUCGACGAAAAUUCGCACCAACGCGCAAUAUUUGAAACUCGAUAUCGACCUGUCGAACUUAGAAUCGAUUUCGUUCUCGGCUAUCAAAAAUUCUUCGCAAUUUUUUACGAUACAUUUAUCUCUUAAAAUUUGUACCACGAAAGAAAAUACAAACACGAUUACGUGUUUCUUUCUUUCUUUCUUUCUUUCUUUCUUUCUUUCUCGUUAUUCUUUUUUCUUUCGUAUUAUUUACUACGUGAUAUAUACAUUUUUUAUUACUUUGUUUUCAAAUACUCGCAAUUUUUUUUAUUACCAUUGUUAUCAAACACGUUCGAUCCUUCUCUCUCUCUCUAUAUAUAUAUAUAUAUAAAUAUAAAAUAUUCUUUUUUUUUGUAAAUUACUGACGAAUCGGAAAAGUGUUUCGUUUGAGACGCAUAAUCGAAAGAAAAAUAGAACGAUCGGAAUACAGAGUUCGAUCGUGCCGGUCACGCCGGAUGCACUUCUUUGUUACGUAAAUUUCGACGACGUAGUUUACGAAAGAGAGAGAGAAAGAGAGAGAGAGAGAGAGAGAGAGAGAGAGAGAGAGAGAAAGAGUCGAUCAUCUUCACGUUCGAUAUUCAUGUCUUUCUUCCGCGAGUUUCUAAACGUUUUAUUUUAACAUAUCAUUCUCGUAGUCUCCCUCUGAAGGUCGCAACUGUAUAAUAUCGUCAGCAACGUAACAAUUGGAUCGCGACGUAUGGAAUGUAAAAGGGGUCUUUUUUCUUUUUUUUUUUUCUUUUUCUGCUUCUUCAUCAUCGUACGUCAUCGUCAUCGUCGUCUCCGUCGUCAUUGAUCGAUCAUUUCUCGGACGAUACAAAAUAGCAAUUGUAAAGUACGCGCGAUCAUUAGUUUUAUUACAGUAUUAGCUUAUUUCGUUAGAUUGUGUCGUGUGCUAUGUGAUUCCAUAUAUGUAUGUGUUAUAAAUGUGCGUGCGUACGUGCGAAUGUGUAGAGUUGAUGAUGAUGUAUGGUCCAAGGUCGUGAACACGAUUGUGUAACCGAGUUACACCGCGGAACUGUGAACUCGAACGCCAUGAAUAACGGCCAUUUUUUUUUUCUUUUUUCCUCUUUUUUUAUUUAUUUAUUUAUUUUUCUUUUUUUUUUCGAAUCGAAUAAGAAUAUAAUGAAAUAUCCUAUUGAAAAUUUGUAAGAUAACGCAUUUAUCUUCUUUCUCUUUCUUUUUCUUUCUUGUUCGACGUAUAAGAUGACAUUGAUUAAAACAAAGAUUGAGAUAUAUUAUAUUUGUUAUAUUAAAUAUAAUAUAAAGUUUUUAUGAUAGGAGAUGAUAGGAAAAUAGAAGGUUGUCUUCUUCGAGGUGUGGUCUCGACUAGAUAAAGAUACAUACGUAUAUGUUAAAGACAAACAUAUAUUUCAUAGAUGGAGUGUGUUCACUUUGGUCGGCAUCCAGCUUAUUAAGAGAGCUCCGGGAAGUUCUCUUUGCAAAAGGUGCCCUCUCUUGUUUGUGUUUAUGCAACCGAUUCAAGAGAACUGCAUUUACGUCAGUCCGAGUGUACGUAUUGCGAACUAGACCGCGGUGUGAAAUUGUCGAUGGGAUUAUAAAUUCAACGAAAUCGAAUUUUCCUUCGUUUCGUAUCUAAGAUCAAGAGAGAAAGACGAAGAGAAAGAGAGAAAGAGAGAGAAAGAUAGAGAGAGAGAGAGAGAGAGAGAGAGAGAGAGAGACGUUUAUUCGAUCAAUAAGAAUUUCAAUAAACGACGAAUAUUAAACGUAAACGUAAUUAAGAAAGGAAAUCAUCGAAGAGAAAGUUUUAAUUAACUGAUUGACUUUAUUAUCCUCGAGAAACUUUUAGAUAAUUAAAAUUCAUUCGGAUAUCGUCCGAUAAGAUUAAUUACGGUCGUUCGUCCAUUUUGUUAAUGACUUGUUAGAUGAGUGCAUUAGGCGUGUUGCAUUCUCUUAAUGACCAUUUUUUUUUAUCGAUUCAAUGACGUAUCAAAAAUAUAUCUCCUAUACGAGAAUGGUUGAGCAACGAAAGAUGUUUUUGAUAUUUUUUUUUCUUUUUUUUCUUCUUUUUCAUCAUUUAUUUCUUGUUACGAGUAGAAAGGUAGGGUUUAGAAACAGACAAAGAAAAAGAGAAAGAGAGACAAGCCAAUGCGAAUACGUCGUUCAGGUACCAGGGAGAGUUUAGUUGAGAUUAUUAUUAGAACGUCGUCUUCUCGUUGCGCGCUUUGUCGAGAAGAAAAUAGCAUCAGCUGACACCAUUUCGGUAAAAAAAUUUUCUUUCCCUGAACUUUCGUUACGUGCGAGUACCGUCAAACCAGAGGGACAUAUAUCGUGUUCGGUUUUUUGUUACUUCAACGAAGGGAAAAUAAAAUUUGUGGGAAAACAAAAAAAAAAGAACACAACAAGAUAUAAAGUAUUUAUUUAUUUGUUGAUUUAUUCAUUCAUUCAUUUAUUUAUUUAUUUUUUAUUUUUUGUUUUUUAUUUCUUUCUUUCUUUUUUUUACAAGUUAUAACUCCUCGAGAAUUAUUCCAAUUUUGUUCGUUAGGUGAAAACAAAAUUUGGGAAUAAGAAUACGGAGAUAAAGAUACAUAAGUAUUCGAAUUAUGCAUUGUAUAUCUUCGAUAAUAUUUGAAAAAAAAAAAGAUUUACACGCACGAAUACACAGACAGAGUCACAGACAGUUAGAAAUAAAAUACUUUUCUUCUUUUCUUUUUCUUCUUCUUCUUAAAUUAUAUCUUCGAUAAGAGUAACGAAGAGAUAAAAUGAUGUACUUUAAUUUCUUAUAACUAUGAUCUAUCUUCUAAUGAUUCUUCGAAUUUUUUUAAAUGAACGAUGACAGAAAAGAGGGAAAAUCGUUCGAGAGUUUCGAUAAAUUUUACAUGGCAAUUAUGAAUAAUCGAAAAGUGCACGUGCACUUGAGAUAAAGAGAGAGAGAGAGAGAGAGAGAGAGACAAAGAGAGAGAGAAAAACAGAAAGAAAGAAAGAAAAAAAGUAUCGUUGAAGUGAUAAAACAACGUGGCAGAAACACAUUCGAAGAAUAUUUCAAAGUCUGUUGAUGCUUCGUUUACGAGCUUUCAAACAUCUCGAACACGUAUAGUGAACGUUGUGACGCGAAAAGUAAUUACUCACUCGUUGAUGGCGUACCUAUUCGUUGAAACAAUUGGAAUUUGUCACGCGAUUUCACCGUGUUUGCGGGCUUUUUAGUAGUGUGAGCUGGGUGUACUCUUUGACUACCGACAGGGUGAAAAUUUUAACUGGUAUAAACGAGCGAACGAAACGCUUGCUAUUUUUCUACAGUAAUUUUCUAGACGCUCUUAAAACUCGCAAAAACAACAACAAAAAAAGAACGAAUUGCUAUUCUUAUCGAUAUAUAUAUAUAUAUAUAUAUAUAUAUAUAUAUGUGCGUGUGUGUGUAUAGAUAUGCAAAGAUAUAUAAAUAACGUGUCGUUUAAAUCGACUAUACACAUAAAAAGUAUAAUAAACCAAUACUUUUAUUGUCUGUAGUCUGUGAAACAACGAAAAAAGGAAAUAAUAAUUUAUUUUACAUUGGAAAGGAUACAUCCAUACAUUGGAAGUAUAGAAAAAACGAUAUUAUUAAAAUUGAUCCUUCUGACAGUAUUAUUAAAACAGAGAAGCCUGUAGAAAAAUAUCAUCGAAUUAAUCUGUACAGUACGUAGAAUCAAAUAAAUUAUUUCGACGUCUGUGAUAUUAUUAUUAAAUCGCAGGCAAACGAAUCAAUAAUAUAGAAGUAUCCUUCAAUUCACUUUUAUUUUUUUCUUUCUUAUUAACUCCAAACGAAAUUAUAUUAUCUUUAUACCGUGAUAUUAUUAAAUCGAAUGAAUUUUCACAAAAAAAAAGAAAGAAAGAAAGAAAAAAAAAGGAAGAAACCAAUCAAUUUUGAUUCGUUUAAUCGAGAUCACAGCUCGAAGGAAAUUAUGAAGAAAAAAAAAACUUUGAAAAAGAUUUGAAAUAUAACAGAGAGGGAGGGGAUGAUGGGAGAGGGUUAGAAAGAAGAGAGUAAACACUAAAGUAACAGGUGAGAAAUUAAAUGGCAAAUGAAAAGGAUAAAAGAGUGAUGGAACUACGAGAUGGUGAGAGAAAACUAGAUUCAUACAGAAAGAGAAAAAGAGAGAAAGAGAGGUAAAGAAAAGAGCACAAGCAAAUGGAAGCGAACGAAUAAGAGAUUAACAGGGCAGUUGGGGCUCGUGCCAGAUGCGCGUUUACACGGGCCCUGAAUACUGUAAAUGCACUAUCUGGUACGACAUCUCUCCUGUCGCCGCCACCAUUGAUGGUCCUCGACGUCGAUGCUGCUCCUUUCGGCACUUUAAGUGUACGGAAGAAAGAAACCGAAGAGAAAGAGAGAGAGAGAGAGAGAGAGAGAGAGAGAGGGAGAGAGAGAGAGAGAGGGAGGAAAAAAGAGAAAGAAAAAGAUUCCAGCAUUUUCUUUCUUUCUUUUUUUUCUGAUUUUCUUUUUUUUCUUUUUUCUUUUUUCUUUCUUUUUUUUUUCUUUCGAUGUUUAAAAAUUAAUGGCUUAAAAAAUGGCGGUAAUUACACUCAAGAAAAAAAAAAAGAAAGAAAGAAUGGAAAAGAGAAUAAAGAUUAUUAUUCAAAUUAAUAAAUUUUCAAUUCUGCUUGAAAAACUUUUGAUUAAUUCAGAUAUCGUGUAAACACGAUUUUGUAUUAUUUCGUUUGAAUUUCUCAAGAAAAUUAUAUGCAGUGAUACGCUCUGUACACGCAACUUUUCGCUUGGCGCGAAAAAUAUCUUUGAAUCGUUUAAAUCGAAUAAUUGAACGAUGUUGAACGAAUAGUAAAUGUUGAUCGUAUUAUAUAUGAUAUUUUUAUACGAUCUGAUUCGGUUGAAAAUAUUAUUACUUUGGAAUAUAAAAUUUGUGAUUCAUAAACACGUGUAGCGUUGUGAAAGUUUGUCGAUCCAUUAAUUAGAUGCAUUUUCUUUUGCAUGUUUACCGUUCUCGUUAUCGUAGAUAUAAUUUACGAUAGCUUUGGUUGUAUUGAAUGUGAUAAUUUUAUCGUCGAUCAAAUCGUAGCUUGAUUGCAUGUAGAUAUCAAAUUUAUCAUUUUAUAUAUAUUUAAACAAAGAUAUAUAUAUCUGUACAUUUGGUCAUUAUCAAUAACUCCACAUUUCUUUUCAUUUUCAUUCAACUUAAGAAAGUACAAAUUGACGAAUCAGUUCUUUGUUUUCUUCUUUUGAAAAAAAUGACAUGAAAGCAUUGAAUUAAUACGAUCUGAUUAUCGAUGCAAUGAUAUAAUUUUUUAUGUAUUAUAUUAUAUAUACACCAACGGAAAACCUAAAAAAAAAAAAAGAAAAACCAAAAAGUGUGAAACGUUAAAUUACUUUAAUUAAAAUUAAUAUUUAUCGUAAGAAAACAAAAAAAAAAUAUUGCGAGAAAGGAUUUGUAUCUGAAGAAGAAAAAUAAGGAUAAGAAAAAAAGAAAAAAAAUUAAGGCAACGAACGAUGAUAACGAAGAAUCGAGAAUCAACGAUUUUAAUGACGAAGUCCGGAACGUGAACGUGAUGAACAACGAGGGCAGAGACUGCGUGUACAUCUUGAUUCGAGUCUUUGACCUCGUACGCUUCAUCCCAAUGAAGACUCAACCCCUCAACAACGUGCAAUUAUCACCGGCUAAUAACGGGCGUCACAACAUUAUCUAUAUCUUCUUCUUCUUCUUCUUCUUCUUCUUCUUCUUCUUCUUCGUCACCGUCGCCAUCGUCGUCGUCGUCGUCGUUUUUAACGAUAUUAUCUGUGUGACUUAAUCCAUAAAAAAUAUUGGAUAAAAAUACGUUAUUAAGAAAAGAAAAAAAUAAAUAAAUAAAUAAAUAAAUAAAUAAAUAAGAUAAGAAGAAAGAAUCGUUUUAUAUUGUCGCAAAUUUUAGAUGCAAAUUUUCUAACAUAAAAAAGAAAAAGGAACAACGAAACGAUUAUCAUCGAGACGUAAGAUCUCUAUUUAUCUAUGCAAAUGUUAAUUUGAAAUUAAUUUGUUAUUUGGACUUAAAAAGUUUUCCAAAUUUUUCUAUCUAUAUUUAAUAUUUAUAAUAAUUAGAUAUUUACGUCGAUGAUGUAUCGAUAUAUACGUAAAAGUGUAUAUUUUUAUGAUUGUAAAGUUUUGUAAUAUAAUUGUAACUAUAUAUAUAUAUAUAUAUAUAUAUAUAUAUAUUUAAUAUUAAAUACGGUAUAUAUAUAUAUAUAUAUUGUAAUAUAAUAAUUAGAUGCUCUAUGAAUAUCGUCACAUACAUUUUCAUUCGAUAAUUUCGAAUCAUCAAGUUUCAAAGCCAAUAUCUUUCUAUCUACAGCUUUCAUUGCGUUAUCUAUUCAUUUUGUUUCACACUUCGGUUCUUACAUUACGUAAAACAUACAUUUGUAAUAAUGACAUUAAAAGUAAAAAAAAAAAAAAAAAAAAAAAAAA